GUUGCAGUUAAAAAGCUCGUAGUUGGAGUUCAGAGUGAGCUCAGCCGGUCGGGAUUAUGUCUCAGAACUGGUUGACUCUCUCUUGUUUGUGGAUCCUGUUCGGAGUUAACUCUUCGGAUGUGGAGUCCACAUCGUUUACCUUGAAAAAAUUAGAGUGUUCAAAGCAGGCGUUUGCUUGAAUAUAUUAGCAUGGAAUAAUGGAAUAGGACGCUGGUUCUAUUUUGUUGGUUUUGAGAACCAGAGUAAUGAUUAAUAAGGACGGCUGGGGGCAUUCAUAUUUCAUUGUCAGAGGUGAAAUUCUUGGAUUUAUGAAAGAUGAACUUCUGCGAAAGCAUUUGCCAAGGAUGUUUUCAUUAAUCAAGAACGAAAGUUAGGGGAUCGAAGACGAUCAGAUACCGUCGUAGUCUUAACCAUAAACUAUGCCGACUAGGGAUUGGGCGUGGUUUGUUCAUUGACCCGCUCAGCACCUUACGAGAAAUCAAAGUCUUUGGGUUCCAA
rnacentral:rRNA from 1 species